rnacentral:rRNA from 1 species
UACGGAGGGUGCGAGCGUUAAUCGGAAUAACUGGGCGUAAAGGGCACGCAGGCGGGCUUUUAAGUGAGAUGUGAAAUCCCCGGGCUUAACCUGGGAAUUGCAUUUGAAACUGGGUAACUAGAGUAUGUCAGAGGAAGGCGGAAUUUCCAGUGUAGCAGUGAAAUGCGUAGAGAUUGGAAGGAACACCGAUGGCGAAGGCAGCCCCUUGGGAAUGUACUGACGCUCAUGUGCGAAAGCGUGGGGAGCAAACAGG